CAGCCGGAGGAUGAAGACGUGCGUUGUGGUCGCUUGACCAGCUGGGACGUGUGCAGUGGACUCAUGUAAAAUUAUGAGCCGCCUGAAGGGAGAUGAUUAAGUUGACCCCCAGAAUCCACCCAGGCUCCAACAGGUGAGCAGUAAGGGACGAUGGUGUUCGGAUCAGAGGGGUGAAACCAGGCUCUGAGCUGCUGAAGGUGCUGUGUGUGACCGACGCUGUCAAGAUAAAGCAAUAUGAUAUUGCUCUGAAGAUAAAUGUGAAGUUUCUGUAAAGAUGAAUAUUAAAAUGAAGCUGCUGUAGACACUAAUAAAAGUACUGGCUGAACAGGCA